GCAGUCCAAGAAUAUUAGUCAAUGCUCGCAAGAGUGAACGAGCUAACUGAAAGAAUAUAUAAUCUAAAGUUAGGAAUCUUAUAAUUAUUAUUAUAAGUUUAAAGACGAAUCUAACUAACAGUGUCGUCCAAAUUCUGGUGCCAGAAGACUCGGUAAUACCAGAGACGCGAACGUUAAUCAUCUUGAAUGGGCAUAAAGGGUUUGUAGGCGGCUUAUUUAUUAAUAGGCUAGAAUCUUAUAGAGGUUAAUAAAAUACUUAGAGGAGGGCUGAUAUCCUUAGAUCCUAAGUGGAAUCCUAAUUGCGAAGGCCAUUUUCCACUACAGAUUGACGCUGAUACACGAAGGUUAGGAUAGGAACUAGGAUUAGAGACCCUAUUACCCCUAACUGUAAACGAUGAAUGGAAGAUAUUUACAACUGUAAGUGUCGAAGUGAAUACGAUAACCAUUCCGCCUUGCUAGUAUACUUGCAAAAGUGAAAACAAAAAAAUUAGUCGGUCCUAAAGCAAACGAAGUGAAGCAUGUUAUUUAAUUC
rnacentral:rRNA from 1 species